UACGGGGGGGGCAAGCGUUGUUCGGAAUUACUGGGCGUAAAGGGCUCGUAGGUGGCCAACUAAGUCGGACGUGAAAUCCCUCAGCUUAACUGGGGAACUGCGUCCGAUACUGGAUGGCUUGAGUUUGGGAGAGGGAUGCGGAAUUCCAGGUGUAGCGGUGAAAUGCGUAGAUAUUGGGAGGAACACCAGUGGCGAAGGCGGCUCACUGGACUGGUACUGACGCUGAUGCGCGAAAGCGUGGGGAGCAAACAGG
rnacentral:rRNA from 1 species